rnacentral:lncRNA from 1 species
GGCGGCCUCGGGCUGGGGGAGCUGAAGGCUCCUGAGGGGCCAUGAGCGGCGCAGCGGGCUCGGAGCGGCCGGAGGAGCGGCAGCGCGUUGUGCCCCCGAUUCCAGCUCUGGGGCAGGGAGGUGUCCUGCAGGAGCUGGUGCUCGCAGAGGGGCAGCCCCCAGAGCCUGGUGAGCUUUUCCUGCUUCCCGUGGAUCGGUCCUGGCGUUUCCUGGUGGGAAAGUCACCUGCGAGCCCCCAGGGAUCAGGCAGGGGCGGUGUCUUGGUCAAAUCCGUCUGGUCCCAGAUCAUUCCCCUAACUCACAAAAGACAAGCCUUGUGGGGUGGCACCGGUUGGGAUUUUAUUUGGAAAAGAGGAAACACAGCCCCAGGGUGUACUGAGCGGGGCUGGGAGCAGCCCCCCACUCCGUGCCUGCCCCCCAGUUCUGACUCCGGCACCCCUUCCCUCGCGCAGGGAUCAGCGAGGAGCAGCGCCAGGCCCAGGAGGAGUGGGAGGCUCUGGAAGAGAUCCAGUCAGGUACUGGGACUAACUGGGAAGGGGGAAAGGAGCCGCGGACGGGUGAGGGCGAAGCGGGGGCGUUAUUUGGGAUGGAGGGGAGGGAGGGGGCGGGAGGUUCCUUUUUCCCCUUGUGCCCCACGGCUUCCUUCUCCUGGAACCGGGGUUAAUUCGGGGUGA